UUCAGUUCGGCUUGCUUCUCUGCCGCAGAAUUGACAGCUGAAUAAAAUGUUAUUAUAUUUACACCAUAAUUUGCAUGGCAAUUAAUCAAAUGGCAUGCGAAAUUCGACAACGGCCACGGAAAGGUAAAGGCAAUCCCAGGCGACACAUUUAGUUGCAGAAAACAAAAAGCAAGGCAAAAAGUUUCGACCCGCCUAAAUGUCUUUAUUAGAAGUUGGCUGACUGAAAAUGGAGCUCGUUAGGGAAGCA
rnacentral:sRNA from 1 species